rnacentral:rRNA from 1 species
CACCACAACGGGUGGAGCUUGCGGUUUAAUUGGAUUCAACGCCGGAAAUCUUACCGGGACCGACAGCAAUAUGAAGGCCAGGCUGAAGACUUUGCCGGAUUAGCUGAGAGGUGGUGCAUGGCCGUCGUCAGUUCGUACUGUGAAGCAUCCUGUUAAGUCAGGCAACGAGCGAGACCCACGCCCACAGUUGCCAGCGUACUCUCUGGAGUGACGGGUACACUGUGGGGACCACCGCUGCUAAAGCGGAGGAAGGAAUGGGCAACGGUAGGUCAGCAUGCCCCGAAUUAUCUGGGCUAUACGCGGGCUACAAUGGGUGGGACAAUGGGUAUCGACACCGAAAGGUGAAGGCAAUCUCCUAAACCCAUCCGUAGUUCGGAUUGUGGGCUGCAACUCGCCCACAUGAAGCUGGAAUCUGUAGUAAUCGUGUCUCAAAAUGGCACGGUGAAUAUGUCCCUGCUCCUU